CGUGCGGCUGCUUACCAUGCAAGUCGAACGGUGAUGGCCAAGCUUGCUUGGUCUGAUCAGUGGCGAACGGGUGAGUAACACGUGAGUAACCUGCCCCAGACUCUGGGAUAACCCCGGGAAACCGGAGCUAAUACCGGAUAUGACACCAAUCCGCAUGGGUAUGGUGUGGAAAGUUUUUCGGUCUGGGAUGGGCUCGCGGCCUAUCAGCUUGUUGGUGCGGUAGUGGCUCACCAAGGCGACGACGGGUAGCCGGCCUGAGAGGGCGACCGGCCACACUGGGACUGAGACACGGCCCAGACUCCUACGGGAGGCAGCAGUGGGGAAUAUUGCACAAUGGGCGGAAGCCUGAUGCAGCGACGCCGCGUGAGGGAUGACGGCCUUCGGGUUGUAAACCUCUUUCAGCAGGGAAGAAGCGCAAGUGACGGUACCUGCAGAAGAAGCACCGGCUAACUACGUGCCAGCAGCCGCGGUAAUACGUAGGGUGCGAGCGUUGUCCGGAAUUAUUGGGCGUAAAGAGCUUGUAGGUGGUUUGUCGCGUCUGCUGUGAAAAUCCGAGGCUCAACCUCGGACUUGCAGUGGGUACGGGCAGACUAGAGUGUGGUAGGGGAGACUGGAAUUCCUGGUGUAGCGGUGGAAUGCGCAGAUAUCAGGAGGAACACCGAUGGCGAAGGCAGGUCUCUGGGCCAUUACUGACACUGAGAAGCGAAAGCAUGGGGAGCGAACAGGAUUAGAUACCCUGGUAGUCCAUGCUGUAAACGUUGGGA
rnacentral:rRNA from 1 species